AUUUCUAUACUGGUCCUGUCACCACGCUGCUGGCCGGUCUCCCCACUCUGCUACCUGCACCAUCCCAGAAAGUGCCUUCCCACAGAAUUCUGUGAUGCCCUUGGCCGUUUCUCCAGUUUCUACAGCCACAGUCAGAACCAUCCAGUCCUGGACAUGGGACCACAUCGGCGACUGCAGUGGACGUGGCUGGGCCGGGCUGAGCUGCAGUUUGGGAACCAGACACUGCAUGUGUCUACCGUGCAGAUGUGGCUGCUGCUGAAAUUCAAUCAGACAGAGGAGGUGUCAGUAGAGACCUUGCUGAAGGAUUCUGACCUCUCCCCAGAGCUGCUGCUCCAGGCACUUGUGCCCCUCACCUCGGGGAAUGGCCCUUUGACCCUGCAUGAGGGCCAGGACUUUCCACACAGGGCGGGUUUCAGGUGUGCUGCAGCUUCAUGAGCCUGGGCCCCAGCGCAGUGGGGAGGCCCUGUGGCUGAUACCUUCCCAGGCAUACCUGAACGUAGAGAAGGAUGAGGGCCGAACCCUGGAACAGAAGAGGAAUCUCUUGAGCUGUCUUCUU
rnacentral:sRNA from 1 species